rnacentral:rRNA from 1 species
AUUAGAUACCCUGGGUAGUCCACGCAGUAAACGAUGAAUACUAAUUGUCCGGGGCGAAUGAGCCCUGGGUGAUACAGCGAAAGCGUUAAGUAUUCCACCUGGGGAGUACGCCGGUAACGGUGAAACUCAAAGGAAUUGACGGGGGCCCGCACAAGCGGAGGAACAUGUGGUUUAAUUCGAUGAUACGCGAGGAACCUUACCCGGGCUCAAACGGCACAGGAAUACUUUUGAAAGGAGGUAGCCCUACGGGGCCUGUGCCGAGGUGCUGCAUGGUUGUCGUCAGCUCGUGCCGUGAGGUGUCGGCUUAAGUGCCAUAACGAGCGCAACCCCCACCGUCAGUUGCCAGCAGGUAAGGCUGGGGACUCUGACGGGACUGCCGGCGCAAGCUGUGAGGAAGGCGGGGAUGACGUCAAAUCAGCACGGCCCUUACGUCCGGGGCGACACACGUGUUACAAUGGCAGGUACAGAGAGAAGCCAGGUGGUGACACCGAGCGGAACUUCAAAGCCUGUCUCAGUUCGGAUCGGAGUCUGCAACCCGACUCCGUGAAGCUGGAUUCGCUAGUAAUCGCGCAUCAGCCAUGGCGCGGUGAAUACGUUCCCGGGCCUUGUACACACCGCCCGUCAAGCCAUGGAAGCCGGGAGUGCCUGAAGUGUGCGACCGCAAGGAGCGCCCUAAGGUAAAACCGGUGACUGGGGCUAAGUCGUAACAAGGUACC